rnacentral:rRNA from 1 species
GAUGAACGCUGGCGGCGUGCCUAAUACAUGCAAGUCGAGCGAACAGACGAGGAGCUUGCUCCUUCGACGUUAGCGGCGGACGGGUGAGUAACACGUAGGUAACCUACCUAUAAGACUGGGAUAACUUCGGGAAACCGGAGCUAAUACCGGAUAAUAUUUCGAACCGCAUGGUUCGAUAGUGAAAGAUGGCUUUGCUAUCACUUAUAGAUGGACCUGCGCCGUAUUAGCUAGUUGGUAAGGUAACGGCUUACCAAGGCAACGAUACGUAGCCGACCUGAGAGGGUGAUGGGCCACACUGGAACUGAGACACGGUCCAGACUCCUACGGGAGGCAGCAGUAGGGAAUCGUCCGCAAUGGGCGAAAGCCUGACGGAGCAACGCCGCGUGAGUGAUGAAGGUCUUCGGAUCGUAAAACUCUGUUAUUAGGGAAAAACAAACGUGUAAGUAACUGUGCACGUCGUGACGGUACCUAAUCAGAAAGCCACGGCUAACUACG